rnacentral:rRNA from 1 species
GGCUCAGGAUGAACGCUAGCGGCAGGCUUAACACAUGCAAGUCGAGGGGUAUAGUUCUUCGGAACUAGAGACCGGCGCACGGGUGCGUAACGCGUAUGCAAUCUACCUUUCACAGAGGGAUAGCCCAGAGAAAUUUGGAUUAAUACCUCAUAGUAUUAUAGAGUGGCAUCACUUUAUAAUUAAAGUCACAACGGUGAAAGAUGAGCAUGCGUCCCAUUAGCUAGUUGGUAAGGUAACGGCUUACCAAGGCAACGAUGGGUAGGGGUCCUGAGAGGGAGAUCCCCCACACUGGUACUGAGACACGGACCAGACUCCUACGGGAGGCAGCAGUGAGGAAUAUUGGACAAUGGGCGCAAGCCUGAUCCAGCCAUGCCGCGUGCAGGAUGACGGUCCUAUGGAUUGUAAACUGCUUUUGUACAGGAAGAAACACUGGUUCGUGAACCAGCUUGACGGUACUGUAAGAAUAAGGAUCGGCUAACUCCGUGCCAGCAGCCGCGGUAAUACGGAGGAUCCAAGCGUUAUCCGGAAUCGUUGGGUUUAAAGGGUCCGUAGGCGGUUUAGUAAGUCAGUGGUGAAAGCCCAUCGCUCAACGGUGGAACGGCCAUUGAUACUGCUAAACUUGAAUUAUUAGGAAGUAACUAGAAUAUGUAGUGUAGCGGUGAAAUGCUUAGAGAUUACAUGGAAUACCAAUUGCGAAGGCAGGUUACUACUAAUGGAUUGACGCUGAUGGACGAAAGCGUGGGUAGCGAACAGGAUUAGAUACCCUGGUAGUCCACGCCGUAAACGAUGGAUACUAGCUGUUGGAAGCAAUUUCAGUGGCUAAGCGAAAGUGAUAAGUAUCCCACCUGGGGAGUACGUUCGCAAGAAUGAAACUCAAAGGAAUUGACGGGGGCCCGCACAAGCGGUGGAGCAUGUGGUUUAAUUCGAUGAUACGCGAGGAACCUUACCAAGGCUUAAAUGUAGAUUGACCGGUUUGGAAACAGACUUUUCGCAAGACAAUUUACAAGGUGCUGCAUGGUUGUCGUCAGCUCGUGCCGUGAGGUGUCAGGUUAAGUCCUAUAACGAGCGCAACCCCUGUUGUUAGUUGCCAGCGAGUCAUGUCGGGAACUCUAACGAGACUGCCAGUGCAAACUGAGAGGAAGGUGGGGAUGACGUCAAAUCAUCACGGCCCUUACGCCUUGGGCUACACACGUGCUACAAUGGCCGGUACAGAGAGCAGCUA